AGCAACAGCUGCUUGAAGCUCUAAUCCAACUCCAUGGCUCACAGCACGAAGAGAGUCUAUCCUCCUUUUCCAAGGGUGAGAUCAGCAGCCCUUUUGGAGGCAGCAAUAUAUCUAAGAUCAGUAAAGACUGCAUUAAGGGGCGAUCAAGAGAAAUGUGCUUCAUUCACAAAACUCAUGGAAGACUACUUGCACCAUAGGGUUACUGUGGAGCAAGUGGUGUCAGUAGUGAAGGAGCUAUUCAGAGAUCACGAAGAACUGAUUGUUGGUUUCAACGACUACUUGCCCGACCAACACAGGAUUAGUGUUCCUGUCCAAGACAUCUGAGAGAUAGCAGGUCUAGGCAAAAUGUAGAGAUUGAUCCAGAGAAGGAACAAGCUAUAGGGCCAGAGAUAUAUGGAAUAUUCCUGUCUACCUGUUUCUCUAUCUUCCAUGUAUUACCCAUUAGCUUUUUGGACUUGGGUUUAGAAUUC